UACGUAGGGUGCAAGCGUUGUCCGGAAUUAUUGGGCGUAAAGAGCUUGUAGGCGGUUUGUCGCGUCUGCUGUGAAAAUCCGGGGCUCAACCCCGGACUUGCAGUGGGUACGGGCAGACUAGAGUGCAGUAGGGGAGACUGGAAUUCCUGGUGUAGCGGUGAAAUGCGCAGAUAUCAGGAGGAACACCGAUGGCGAAGGCAGGUCUCUGGGCUGUAACUGACGCUGAGGAGCGAAAGCACGGGGAGCGAACAGG
rnacentral:rRNA from 1 species